rnacentral:tRNA from 1 species
GCCUGGUUAGCUCAAUCGGUAGAGCGUGAGACUCUUACACGCAAUGUCAGAAGAUUGAUCCGAUCGCGAUCUCAAGGUCGCGGGUUCGACCCCCGCAUCGGGCU